AAAUUGGAACAUAAAUGAGAAGAGAAAUAGUGCAGUAUUGCUAAUACACCAUAUAUAUAUUGUGUAUUGGCAAUACUGCACUAUUUCUCUUCUCAUUUAUGUUUGUGAUAC
rnacentral:miRNA from 1 species